rnacentral:rRNA from 1 species
UACGUAGGUGGCAAGCGUUGUCCGGAAUUAUUGGGCGUAAAGCGCGCGCAGGCGGUCUUUUAAGUCUGAUGUGAAAGCCCACGGCUCAACCGUGGAGGGUCAUUGGAAACUGGGGGACUUGAGUGCAGAAGAGGAAAGUGGAAUUCCAAGUGUAGCGGUGAAAUGCGUAGAGAGUUUGGAGGAACACCAGUGGCGAAGGCGACUUUCUGGUCUGUAACUGACGCUGAGGCGCGAAAGCGUGGGGAGCAAACAGGG